rnacentral:rRNA from 1 species
GACGAACGCUGGCGGCAGGCUUAACACAUGCAAGUCGAACGGAAAGGCGCUGCUUUUUUGUGGUGCUCGAGUGGCGAACGGGUGAGUAACACGUGAGUAACCUGCCCUUGACUGUGGGAUAACUUCAGGAAACUGGGACUAACACCGGAUAACAGCUGCUGCUGCAUGGUGGGGGUUGGAAAGCUUCGGCCGUUGGGGAUGGACUCGGGGCUUAUGAGCUUGUUGGUCGGGGAGUGGCCUACCGAGGGUUUGACGGGUCGCCGGCCUGAGAGGGUGACCGGCGACAAUGGGACUGCGAUACGGCGCAGACUCCUACGGGAGGCAGCGGUGGGGAAUAUUGCACAGUGGGCGGAAGCCUGAGGAAGCAACGCUGGGUGCGGGAUGACGGCCUUGGGGUUGUAAACCGCUUUAGCCUGUGACGAAGCGUGAGUGACGGUAAUGGGUGAAGAAGCACCGGCUAACUACGUG